GCUGCUGCCAUAUAGGAAGUGCCUUUCGCCUCCCGACGUGAUUCUGAGGCCUCCCCAGCCAUGUGGAACUGUAAUGGAAACUGCAGAAAGUGAAAUAGAAGAAAAGGAAAAUGACUGUACUGCAGGGGACGCAAAGCUGCCAAUGGCCAUGCAAGUGGCGAAGUGGAUUCUUCCCCAGUCGAGCCCCCAGUUGGCUGUGAAACGUGAAAGCACAUUUGGCUCAUAAUACAAACAAAAGUGCAUAACUUCAUGAAGUUCUUUCAAAUCUACCCAUGUGGCAAAACACAAAAGUGUGUGAGACCUGCAAGUCUGCAGAUAAAGAAGCCUGGAGCAAGUCCUAUGAGGAAGAACCUUUGAAGAGGGCAUGCACACUCCCAGCCAGGACAGCUGAGGAAGGCAGCACAGAGGAAGCAUACAUGAGCCCGAAGAGAUUCGGGACAUAUUGUGGAAACUGAUUUUUAAUGGGAACUGGCUGAUGCAUUAUCAAA